GAAUAAAGGUAUAAAUAUGACUUUAUAGCCAAAAUUCAUUUAGGGUUUUCUUUUGGGGAAAGGAUGCGAACAUAAGCUCUCCUUUCUCUCUAAAGUGGCCGGCCUCCUUGGAGGGUUUAGCUAGCAAUCAUACUACUCCAAGGUCACUCAUUUCUUCUCCAAUCUAACCUUGGUGAAAAGACUUAGAGGUUCUCAAUUUUGGGAACUUGGAGAACCAUUUCAUCCAUCCAAAUCCAUAGAUCUAAGAUGCAA
rnacentral:lncRNA from 1 species